AUGAUGGACUACAGGACAGGACUGCUGCUUUUAACUGUCUGCUGGGCAGGCGUUGAUGGUCAGACUCUGACAGAAUCUGAAUCAGUGGUUAAAAGGCCUGGAGAAUCUCACAGAUUGACCUGUACAGGCUCUGGAUUCACAUUCAGUGACUACAGCAUGCAUUGGGUCAGACAGGCUCCUGGAAAAGGACUGGAGUGGGUUGCUGCUAUUAGCAGUGGUAGCAGCACUUACUACCCUCAGUCAGUCCAAGGCCGGUUUACCAUCUCCAGAGACAACAGCAGACAGCAGGUGUAUCUGCAGAUGAACAGUCUGAAGACUGAAGAUUCUGCUGUUUAUUAUUGUGUUCGAGACUCACAGUGACUGGAGUUGGUGGAGCAGCUGC